UAGACAGAGCCGAGCUGAGCUCGUCCCGUCGCCGCCCCAUCCCAUCGAUCUCCUCCGGUCACCCUGCUUUGAUUCCUUGUGCACAGAAGUUCCCCAGCUCCUCCUCCACCUUCCCCAACCUCUAGCCUAGCUCCUCCCGGCUAGAAUCGCCUAGCCACCACCAGUCACAAUUGAAGCUGCUUGAAGAUUUGCUUCACCGUCGAUCCGCCUCUCCGGUCGUCCUCCGCCCAAACUGUCCCUCGGAAUGGGUCGCCCUCGACCUGCUGGCGCUUCCCGGAUUACCCAUCGCCGCCCUCUCGCCGGAAGCGCCGCCGAGUGCUGUGCCCAUGGCCGCCGGGGCACUGCUCCGCUGCGCCCACACUUCCGGCCAUCCCCGACCCCAACUGAACCCACUCACAGAACCCGUGGUGAGAGCAUCGUCUACGAAUGGAUCAUGAAGUCCAGGACCGGCGAAGCAGGAUUGGGAAGGAAUUCGUGAAGACCCGGCCCAAGGUCGGAAGGGCCCAAGGCCUUGCUAGUAUUAACACUAACUUAGUGUUACCCUCAGGCAAGCCCCGCUGCAUAACCUACUAUUUUAAAUUAUGAAUCAGUAUAUAUGUUUAUUACUUGUGCAUUAUGUUUUUAGGAAUUAUUUGAAACCUUAGUCGCAUGAUCCCUAGGUUCCCUUGGGUUGAAUAUUACUAGCAUGUGUAAGUCGUUAGUACUGCUAUGCUUAAUAGGUCUCGGUAGAAGUCGAGUAAUUUUCUGUUACUCACGAGAUAUAGGAUGUCUUUAUAUUUUA